GCUCACUGAUAAUUUAAAGAGCCGCAGUAUCCUAACUGUGCUAAGGUAGCAUAAUCAUUAGUCUUUUAAUUGGAGACUGGUAUGAAUGGCUAAACGAGAAAUUGACUUUUUUUACUAUAUUAAUUGAACUUAAUUUUUUAGUGAAAAAGCUAAUAUGAUUCAGAAAGACGAGAAGACCCUGUAGAGUUUUAUAUUAAUUUAUAUUUUUUCUUAGUAGAUUUUUAAAGAAUAAAUUUAACAAGAUAUUUUGUUGGGGCGACAUUAAGAUAAGAGAAACUCUUUAUUUUUAAAAUUUUUAUAAAAAUAUUUUAUGAUCCUCUAUAAGGGAUCAAAAGAAAAAAUUACCUUAGGGAUAACAGCGUAAUCUUUUUUGAGAGUUCUAAUCGACAAAAAGGUUUGCGACCUCGAUGUUGGACUAAAAUUUAGGCAGGGUGCAGCAGUUUUGCUUUUAGGUCUGUUCGACCUAUAAUA
rnacentral:rRNA from 1 species